UACGUAGGGACCAAGCGUUGUCCGGAAUCAUUGGGCGUAAAGAGCGUGUAGGCGGCUUGUUAAGUCUUGCGUGAAAUCUCGGGGCUCAACCCCGAGCGGUCGUGAGAAACUGGCAGGCUAGGGUGCGGGAGAGGAGAGUGGAAUUCCUGGUGUAGCGGUGAAAUGCGCAGAUAUCAGGAAGAACACCCGUGGCGAAGGCGGCUCUCUGGAACGCAACUGACGCUGAGACGCGAAAGCGUGGGGAGCAAACAGG
rnacentral:rRNA from 1 species